AGCCUCGGGGCAUGUGGAUGUAGGUGAUGCUGAUUUCUUUUGCUUCUCAUUUUAGAUGACUCUUGUUCCAGUUGGGAGGUUGAUCACCUUAGCAAGUUCCAUCUGAACUUCAUUUGGGUUUGCACGAGAGUAUCACGUUGGUUUUAGAUUUUGACAAGACUUCUGCUUUUGAUGCUUAUCCUUACCAGAGAGUGAGAAGACCUUUUUACUGUCACAGCUCUUUUCAAAAGGCAUGGGAAAGCAUCUGGAAAGCCAGAUUUUAACAGUGGGCAAGUUAUAAAUAGUAACAUACAGAAUCACACUCCGAACGGAAAUUAUUUGAUUUUUUUCAUUACAGCAUUAUAUUACGUUGACUCUGGUUUCCAUGUACUAGAAGCAUGUAUCAUAUCCUUAGGUUCCUAGACACAGAGAUCAAUUAACAUAUCUCAAGGGUAAUUUUUACAGUCUAACUGCACCUGGCUAACUGAUAGCACCUACAGAUAUGGACAGAACAGAGCACCAGAAUUUAGGUAUCUUAAAGGAAUUAUUUCCUGUCAGAUGAUGAAGAUGAAAUAAUGGAAAGUAUUCUCUUUUUGUCCAGUCUGUUGGGUUUGAUAUUUUUAUAACUCUUAACCCAGACUAAAUCUUCAACCAUUUUGAAUGUGAAAAAGAAUAGAAUUUCUGUCUUUUAUAAGGUACACAUUCAUUAAAAAGGAAACUAGGAAACCAUCUUUAGAGUAAUUCCUUCUAUAAGAAAGAGUCAACACUCCCAACUUGUUCCCUCCACCCCCACAAGCUACAGCUUAAAAACACAAUUCUAUAAUUAAAGUGAAAAUAAAUUUUACUUUGUCUUAAUUGAUGUCAUAUUGACAGGUAAUUGCAAUUGUUUUUGUUUGUGUACCUAGUACAUUGUGCUCAUGUUCAGUGCUGUAAAAGGAAAAACAGUAAAAAACUGUAUUCUGCAGAGUUGAAAGUAGUUCAUUUCAAGGAAAAUAAUGAAUUUUGUCAAAUUGACAGUUAUGACUAAAUGUGCCCAAGCACAAGACACCUUGAGUAAAGCAGUAUGGUUGUAAACUACUCAAUUUUCUUCCCAAAGCAAUUUGAGAAAAAGUGUCUUCAGAAUCUACCAUGUAGCACGUGGGUAAAGGAAGAACAUACCGACAACUUACUAUGAAUGUGUCUCAUCAUUCCAUACUUUGGCACAUCUUUUCUUUGUUCCCUGUACUAAUAUUGUGACUGAAUAUGUGGAAAUAUAUCUUACCAUAUCAGUAUUUACUUGGUGUUAACCGUGUUGCACAAUGGCUUUAUAAAAUAGGGAACUGAGAAGGCUUUGAAAAGAAUCAUUGUUAAGUUUAAUGCUCUGUUUGCAGGUCAAGAAUGAAAGUAGAAUUUAACAUUUUGUUUAUUGCUUUUGUAUUGCGUAUCGUUAAGGCUACUUGAUGUGUUUGGCCAGCCUGGUUAUCAUUCCCAUAAUUAAAAGAGUUCCAAAGUGCAGGAAUACUUCUAGGAAAACAAGAGAAUUAGAUCAGUAGAGAAGAUUUGAUUUAUGAACUAUUGUCCCUCUUAUAUUGGAUGUCUUAAUUUAGGAAGAUCCAGAUACAUAGGGAUUUUGUAACAAGAGCUUUAAAUUCAGGUGCACUGUGGAUUUAAUUUCACAAAGCAGUUUGCUGCUCUUCUAAUGUCUUUAUAGUUGAGGUAGUCUGUUUGUAGAGUCUAGUAAGUGAUUCAACUGAACUUAAUGUGCGUGUCACAUGUGAUGGUAUGACCAAUUUAAAAGUCUUUGGAAAGUUCUGUAUUUCUUCAUUAGAGAAUAUAAAGUUAUUUGUCACCUCUGA